GCGCGCAGGCGGUUCCUUAAGUCUGAUGUGAAAGCCCACGGCUCAACCGUGGAGGGUCAUUGGAAACUGGGGAACUUGAGUGCAGGAGAGGGGAGCGGAAUUCCACGUGUAGCGGUGAAAUGCGUAGAGAUGUGGAGGAACACCAGUGGCGAAGGCGGCUCUCUGGCCUGUAACUGACGCUGAGGCGCGAAAGCGUGGGGAGCGAACAGGAUUAGAUACCCUGGUAGUCCACGCCGUAAACGAUGAGUGCUACGUGUUGGAGGGGUCAUACCCUUCAGUGCUGCAGCUAACGCAUUAAGCACUCCGCCUGGGGAGUACGGCCGCAAGGCUGAAACUCAAAGGAAUUGACGGGGGCCCGCACAAGCGGUGGAGCAUGUGGUUUAAUUCGAAGCAACGCGAAGAACCUUACCAGGCCUUGACAUCCUCUGACGACCCUGGAGACAGGGCUUCCCCUUCGGGGGCAGAGUGACAGGUGGUGCAUGGUUGUCGUCAGCUCGUGUCGUGAGAUGUUGGGUUAAGUCCCGCAACGAGCGCAACCCUCGUCCUUAGUUGCCAGCAUUCAGUUGGGCACUCUAAGGAGACUGCCGGUGACAAACCGGAGGAAGGUGGGGAUGACGUCAAAUCAUCAUGCCCCUUAUGGCCUGGGCUACACACGUGCUACAAUGGGCGGUACAAAGGGUUGCGAAACCGCGAGGUGGAGCUAAUCCCAAAAAGCCGCUCUCAGUUCGGAUUGCAGGCUGCAACUCGCCUGCAUGAA
rnacentral:rRNA from 1 species